GCCAGUGUGGUGUAGUGGUCUGAGCAUUAGACUACGACUCUGGAGACCAGGGUUCAAAUCCCAGCUCAGCCA